GCAAGGAGCGCUGUGCUCGCGCUUCCCUUUGACUCUACUCCCCCCCCCCCCGCCGAAAUCCCCUCUUCCAACUUUCAGCCUUUUGCGUUUCCUUUCAGUUUUUCACUUCUCAUCCCUCCUGGCAGCGUUUGCCGAGCCCUAGAACCCAGCCCUGAUCUAAGUCAUAGAAAAAUCAAAGUGAUGCGUGCCACUGGUUUGGAUCAUAUGCACACAAUUCAAAAAGAAAAAGGAAGAGAAAUCUGAUCCUGAGUGAGGGGAGCAGAACAUUUGAAGCAUGCACUUUGAGUUCCUUGCAAAAAAAAGAAAUGGACUUUCCCACAAGAUUAAGAAAUGGAGAGGAGCAUACAAUAUGUGGGAGAACUCAAAUGCUCUUAGAUUUAGGAAGUGAAGUGUGUGCGGCUUGAGAAAGGUAGGAGAGUUGAAUGCUACACCAGAAGAACGUAAGAACAUAUGAAUGGCCAUACUGCGUCAGACCAACGGUCCAUCUCGCCCACUAUCCUGUCUUCCACAACAGUAGCUAGCGCCAGAAGCUUCAAAAGGAAUGAACAGAACUGGGCAACUUUCAAAUGAUCCAUCUGUCAUCCAGUCUCAGGCCUUGGUUACACUUGCGAGUUGCAGCGCUGUAAAGCCGCCCCCAGCGCUGUAACUCACUCCCCGUCCACACUGGCGAGGCAUUUGCAGAGCUGUAUCUCCUUGGUUGCAGUGUGGCCACCCAAUGCUCUGUGAAUGGCCUCCAGAAUUAUUCGACAGUAUCCCACAAUGCCUGUUCUAGCCACUCUGGUCAUCAGUUCAAACUCUACUGCCCUGGCCUCAGAUAACCAACCA